CCCUGAGUGGCAUAGAUGGUUAAUGUGAUUGACUGCUAAUCAAAAGGUUGGUGGUUCAAGUUCACCCAGAGGCA
rfam:Loxodonta africana unplaced genomic scaffold scaffold_181, whole genome shotgun sequence.